rnacentral:tRNA from 1 species
GCCUCCGUGGCCGAGUGGGUAUCACACCAGACUUGCACGCAGGAGGCCCGGGUUCAAUUCCCGGUGGGGCCA